ACCCACGUGGCGGAAUUGGUAGACGCGCCAGGUUGAGGGCCUGGUGGCCGCUUUUGGCCGUGCUGGUUCGAGUCCAGUCGUGGGUA
rnacentral:tRNA from 1 species